rnacentral:rRNA from 1 species
GACGAACGCUGGCGGCGUGCUUAACACAUGCAAUUCGAACGGAAAGUCCCUGCUUUUGUUGGUUCCUCGAGUGGCGAGCGGGUGAAUAACACGUGAGUAACCUGCCCUUGACGUUGGGAUAACUUCAGGAAACUGUGGCUAAUACCGGUUAUACGCUCCUGCUUCAUGUUGUGGGUUGGAAAUUUUCGGCGGUUGGGGAUGGACUCGAGGCACAUCAGCUUGUGGGUUGGUUAGUGGCUUACCAAGUCUUUGACGGGUGGCCGGCCUGAGAGGGUGAACGGCCCCAUUGGGAAUGAGAUACGGCCGAGACUACUACGGGAGGCAGGAGUGGAGACUAUUGCACAAUGGGCGGGAGACUGAUGAAGCAACGCCGAGUGCGGGAUGACGGUGUUAGGGUUGUAAGCCGCUUUCGCUUGUGACGAAGCGCGAGUGCCGGUACUGGGUAAAGAAGCACCGGCGAACUACGU